UACGUAGGGAGCAAGCGUUUGUCCGGAAUCAUUGAGCGUAAAGCGCGCGUAGGCGGCCUCGUAAGUCCGUUGUGAAAGUCAAAGGCUCAACCUUUGAAAGCCGAUGGAUACUGUGAGGCUAGAGUCCGGAAGAGGCGAGUGGAAUUCCUGGUGUAGCGGUGGAAUGCGCAGAUAUCAGGAGGAACACCAAUAGCGAAGGCAGCUCGCUGGGACGGUACUGACGCUAAGGCGCGAAAGCGUGGGGAGCGAACAGG
rnacentral:rRNA from 1 species